rnacentral:rRNA from 1 species
UGAGUAAUCUGCCCUUGGCUUUGGGAUAGCCACCGGAAACGGUGAUUAAUACCGGAUACGACCGCUCCUCGCAUGAGGUGGUGGUGGAAAGUUUUUCGGCCAGGGAUGUGCUCGCGGCCUAUCAGCUUGAUGGUGAGGUAAUGGCUCACCAUGGCUUCGACGGGUAGCCGGCCUGAGAGGGUGACCGGUCACACUGGGACUGAGACACGGUCCAGACCUCCUACGGGAG